rnacentral:rRNA from 1 species
AGUUGGUGUGGUGACUUGUCUGGUUUAUUCCGAUAACGAACGAGAUUCGAGUUGCAUGAGUUUAUGCGGGACGGCUGUAUUACUACAGAGGAGGUUCGAGUCAAAUCAGGU